GUUUUCUCAAAUAACAGAGAUACCUACCUUCACAAGCAACUUGGGAAAAUAUGAUGUUCCAAUCAAAUAUUUUGCAGAGGAGCCCCUCUUUGAUGUCUCUGGUGAUGAAAUUCAAGGCUUUAACCAUGAUUUUGAGGUGCAAGUGUUAGUCGAUGAUGCAUAUUUUGGUGUUACAAAGCAAUAUAUGAAUUCUGGUUUGGGGGACAAGGAUUUUCAUCGACAAUCUCAUCAUGAGCCACCAGAUCGCUGUCGAGAUAAAGGACACGCAUAUGUAGAUCUUGUUGCCAUACAUAAAGGACUAACCAAUAGUUCUCAGUUGACAUCAAGUGCCUGGUCGCUAAAAUUGAUUGUUUCUUAGCCAAUGUCUUAGAUGGCUCUAAGCUUUUGUGGCCACCAGGGACUCUAACAGUUUGGGCGCUUCUGCCAUUCCCGCUUAUGAUCUCACCUGUGGCGUUGCGAAUCUGCCUUGUCUCAUUCUCUAUCAUCAUCAACACAACGGUAAUGCAAUUUGCUAAGAUACUUGGGGAUAGGACCUUCGAUACUUUUGAGUAUUUACGUCUACGUCCAGUUGCUCUGCUUUUCAUAAGGUCAAAGGCUUUGUGGCCUUUUUCUCCCACAUUCAUAACUGUGUCUUUGGUGUUUGUUCAUACCUUUUCAUUACAAGUUGGGGUAUGCUAUGACGUUUGUAAGAAGGGAAUAGAAGUUGUGGUUUGUACCAAGUAUGGUUCUAAUUACACGUCCACAACAACAAUGGAGUGGACUGAUGUUGCUUGUGACCCAAGCAAGUGGGUGAUUUGUUCAUUCUUCCAUCAUGUCAUUCGUUUUGUGCAUGGAGCUGUUAUCCUUGGGUCACCAUCUUCUCUUCAAUGGUCUCUGCUGCUGUGCGAAAUAUUAAAGGACGUUGAUGAAUUUUUAGACACAAGAUCCGAGAGGCUUACGGUGUUGAUGGCAGUGGCCCUAAGUCAUGCUCAGCUGUGUCUUGUGCAACCGACAUGUCUUCUUUAUUGUUUUAUCCAGGAUUUAACAAGACUUCAGCUUAGACGAUGUGGUGAACGUCCUGACGAAUAGCAACCACACAUUUUGUUACUUGCGUACUCGUGAACAUGUUUUUCAGGAAGGCUAUUUGUUCUCAUGUGCUCUGUGGAAACACAACCUUAUUUUCUCCAGAGAAUUGACCAUUAACAAUGGGGACCUACAGCUAGUGCUAGUCGUGGCCUAUCAUGUUCAAGAAUCUCCUACAUUUUUAGUCGGACCACUCACUCUUGGGAUUGCUCCGGACUUCACAAAAAAUAGAGCGCAUGACAAGGAGUCUGAAGGUUCUUCCUGUCAGCUAAAGACGAGGAAGAUGGGACCACCGGAGAUUCUUGGAAAAAUCAAUGCAAACGGAUAUCGCCUUGCGUUGCACCCGCAUGUGCAUGUAGCUGACGUUUUUAACGUCAACCGUUUGUUCAAAUUUGAACCAGGUGAUGUGUUACUGUCCGGAUUCGUGGACGAAUCUCUCAAAGGGGGAGGGACCUGAUGCAGCGUAGCAUCCUAUUUCUAUUGGGUUUUAGUUUUAUAGUUUCCUUUUUAUUCUUGUUCUAAAUAAACAUUAUUAUUCUUAAAGAUAAUGAUUAAAGACUUUAGGAUAGAAGGUUAGAUCCUAAUCCUUAAGGACUUAGGUCUUUUCUUAUUAGUAUAAAUAGUGAGCUAUUGAUUUGUAAGAGUCACAAUUUUUGAAUUAUUGAUUAAUAAACUAGAGCUUUGGUAUUAACAAACUCUUGAAUCCUUACUUCCGGGCCUUCUCUAAGAAUUCAACGGCUUUAAGAAGGCUUAGAUAGCGGGUAUUCUCAGAAUUCAACGAUAUCUCUGCAUUAUCGGUUACUAGACGGUACUUCCGCUCCGUCACAAUGGCAGGGUGUGGCAACCGUGGCUCGACUCCACACGACUUUUCUGGUGAACUCAGUUUGCCAUAUAUGGGGAACACGAGCUUGGAACACACCUGACUUCUCCAGAAACAAUUGGUAUAAUUUCUAUAGAUAUACAUACAUGGGAAUAGUUUCAAUAAAUAAUAUUAAUAUUGAAAAUUAAUAAUGUGAUAAAUCAGGUGGGUAGCGAUUUUAACUCUUGGCGAGGGUUGGCAUAACAAUCAUCAUGCGUUCCAGUUCUCGGCUAGGCAUGGACUCGAGUGGUGGCAGCUCGACGUUACUUGGUAUCUCAUUAGGUUUCUCGAGGCUAUUGGUUUGGCCACUAACGUAAAGUUACCUACUGAAGCUCAAAAGAAAAGAAUGGCUUUGAUCUGAUCCUUAAUAGUUAAUUCCUUGCAUAAAUUAUAUUCUUGAAUUCAAAUAAUUCUCUCAAACUCUGCUCCUCCAGUCCUCCUACGUAUCCUACUACGAGUUAACCUAAAGUUCUUUUCAAUAGAUAGAGCUUUGUCUUUGAGGUGACUCUAUAUGAACACUAACAUUAUUAACGGCACAAAUUACCUAAGAAAUCGUGGGCUUUUUGCAAAUAUGAUUCAAAACUCAAAAUCAAACACAAAACUAAUCCAUGAUUAUUUUUUGGAAUUUUCAUUUACCAUAUUCACCCUACAAAUUUGGAUUAUUUACGAAAAUACCAUUAUUUUUUUUAUUUUUUUCGAAAAUAAGGUUUUUACCCUCUCAUCUUCAUCUUCUUAAAGUAUUUACAAUAUUGUCAUUGCCAUCAAUACACCAACCACCAUGAACAAUUAAUUUGAAGCUCUUAAUGCACCUAAAAAUCGAUUUUGACUCCUUCUAUCUCAUUUCUUAUGAACUAAAAACAAAAUCUCUUUCACUUUCUUUCUACAUUCAUCUAAAAAAAUCCAAGAUUUUGAUUCUAAAAAUUUGAAGGUUCAUAGAACCAAUCUCAUGAUUCGUGGUCAUUUACAAGUAGAUUGCUUUGGUGGUGAAGUAUUUUGUGGUUGGAGAAGCUAAACAAGUUAUCUCACUCGUCGAGAAGAUAAGUCUUCUGGUCAAUGCAUAUGUUAGUUUCACAAUUGACUUUAUGUGUGUCUUUUAGAGACGACUCUCUAGAAGUCUUACGAUUUUCUUUGUUUUCAAAAAAAUUACAGAAGACUUUUCGGUUUUUUUCGUCUAUGAUAAACAUGUUAGUUUUGCAUUUGACCGGAUUGUGUCAGAAAUUUAUCUUUUCCUAGACGGCUUACACAUAAGUCGUCCAACAGAAAAAUAAAAAAUAAAAAUGAAUUUUUACUAGACGACUUUCAAGUAAGUCGUUUCAGAUUAUUUUUGAAAUUGAAAAAUAAAACUUAAAUAGUUUUAAUUUUAUCCAGACGAUUUCCAUGUAAGUCUUCCGGUAAACGACUUACAAGGAAGUUUUUCAGGAUUUUAUUCCGAAAUUUUGGUCAAACAUUGGUUAUUACAGAAGAGUAGACUACUAGCUCUACCCUCUCAAACAACCCGCUGUGAAGUUCGCUUGAAACACAACAGCUUCGUCUAGUCACUGCCUCUUCGUGCUCCAGCACUUGGUCGUCAUCCUGAGUUCUUCGUCUUGAGUUCGAGUCCGAAAGUGUCCAACUUUGGGAGCGGUUUUAUCUUCCCACAACAUCACUCUAUCAGCCCGCUCCAACACUUCAACCUUAGUCUCACUCAAAUGGCCUUAUCCUAUCCAUAGCGGUUUCACCUAGUCGCUUUGCACGAUCGCUCUGAUGCUCCUUGCCACUGUGUACACCCGCUCCAACACUUCAACCUCAACUGAUGGUGUAAGAAAAGUAAGCUUUUUGAGCAGGUGAUCAUUCUUGCUCCAAGAAUCUGCUCCAAGACAAGCAUGAUAUUCAGCGACUUGUCCAACCUGCAAUGGUCUACUCGCUCCAAUGCUUGCACUUUCAGGGACAAUUCGACCAAAACUUCAAAUUUAAAUGUGUUUUCCUAUUGAUUUUAGAUUUAAACUAUUAAAUUAUCUUAUAACUUUUAAUUACAUUUUGAGUUUGUUUUUAGAUUUUUUAAAACAUUUUGAUUGCUGAAACAUUUUAUUUGAUAUGAUUUUUUUGGUAAAGAAUAUGUAUAUUAUUUACAAAAUAUUAUUAAAAUAAAUUUGUUUGAACCUAAUUGAACCCGGUCAAACAAUAUUAACUCAUGACCUGCAACUUUUUUGGUUCAGUUGUCGGUCCGGUUUUAAAAACAUUGAUGAGAGCAUUCGCAAAUAAGCCGCCUUAUAAAUUAAAAGCUUGACCUUUUCAACUUAAAUUUAUUUAUUAGAUAAUUAAAAGAUUCACAAAUACAUACAUAAUAAUGAAAAGCAACAAAUUACAUAAGUAAAAUGAUAAGAAAAAUAACCAAUUACAGUUUUUGCGAUCCUUGAGUCUUUAUCGCAUUAUGAACACCAAUUUUAUUUGUUGUAUUAUAUUCAUAUUGUUCAAAUUUAGAUAUAUAUAUAUAUAUAUAUAUGUAAAUUAUUUGGUUUAGAAUUCAAUGUAUUGAUUCAACUGUAAGUAAUAAAAAUUGACAAGGCCGAUUCUCAACGAUUGUAUGGAUAUCACAUACAACGAAGAGACUACAUCUUCUGUUAUGUGUUGUAGUCUCAUACGUAAAAUAUUUUGAUACCAAGUAUAUUGUAUCAAAAUAUAAAUUAUGAAUGCCUUGGACAACAUCAGACUUCUUCUCUCGAUAUUUAGAUCUUCUUCCGCUUUUUGAGUCCAUGACAUUUUUUUUGGUGGACGUUGUUUCCAUGGAAAAUCAAAUAAGAUUUGUUUUAAAGAUCGGAUAGUCAUCACAUAUUAACGAAAACCACUGGAAACGAACACAAAAUUAAAAAUAUGUGUUAGAUUUGUUAAGGACUCAGCAAAAAAAUUUGGAGAAAAUUCUGUGUAAUCGUUAGAAAUUACACAACGAAAGUUGAAGAAAUAAAUAUGAGAGAUGAAAAAUAAAUUGUAUAGAAACAGGGAUGCACACUUUAAUUUUGGUGGACGUUGUUUCCAUGGAAAAUCAAAUAAGAUUUGUUUUAAAGAUCGGAUAGUCAUCACAUAUUAACGAAAACCACCGGAAACGAACACAAAAUUAACAAUAUGUGUUAGAUUUGUUAAGGACUCAGCAAAAUUUGCCAGAGGAAAUUCUGUGUAAUCGUUAGAAAUUACACAAUGAAAGUUGAAGAAACAAACAUGAGAGAUGAAAAAAUAAAUUGUAUAGAAACACGGAUGCACACUUUAAUUUUGGUAUUGCAUUCACAAUCACCUUUUGAAUUUUUUUUGUGUGGAAUUACAUGUUUGAAAAAGAAAAA